rnacentral:rRNA from 1 species
UACGUAGGGGGCAAGCGUUGUCCGGAAUUAUUGGGCGUAAAGAGCGUGUAGGCGGUCCGGUAAGUCAGCUGUGAAAGUCAAGGGCUCAACCCUUGAAUGCCGGUUGAUACUGUCGGGCUAGAGUCCGGAAGAGGCGAGUGGAAUUCCCGGUGUAGCGGUGAAAUGCGCAGAUAUCGGGAGGAACACCAAUGGCGAAGGCAGCCCCCUGGGAUAACACUGACGCUCAUGCACGAAAGCGUGGGGAGCAAACAGG